rnacentral:rRNA from 1 species
GAUGAACGCUAGCGGCAGGCUUAACACAUGCAAGUCGAGGGGUAUAGUUCUUCGGAAUUAGAGACCGGCGCACGGGUGCGUAACGCGUAUGCAAUCUACCUUUCACAGAGGGAUAGCCCCAGAGAAAUUUGGAUUAAUACCUCAUAGUAUAGCAGUUUCGCAUGAAACCACUAUUAAAGUCACAACGGUGAAAGAUGAGCAUGCGUCCCAUUAGCUAGUUGGUAAGGUAACGGCUUACCAAGGCAACGAUGGGUAGGGGUCCUGAGAGGGAGAUCCCCCACACUGGUACUGAGACACGGACCAGACUCCUACGGGAGGCAGCAGUGAGGAAUAUUGGACAAUGGGCGCAAGCCUGAUCCAGCCAUGCCGCGUGCAGGAUGACGGUCCUAUGGAUUGUAAACUGCUUUAUACAGGAAGAAACACUACUUCGUGAAGUAGCUUGACGGUACUGUAAGAUAAGGAUCGGCUAACUCCGUGCCAGCAGCCG